GGUUUGGUUAGAGGUGUUCGACAUCUCUUGUUUAUCUCUGCAGAAAAGUAUUUGAAUGAAACUGUGGUUUCUCGUAUGCCAAAUAUGCAGAGUUAGAGAUUAGUCUCUAGCCAAGUCUAGGUUCAUAACCAUAAAGGCUGACUCUCGGGUCAGACUUGAACCAUGGUCUCAAAUCAGGUAGGAAGACCCGCUGAACUUAA
rnacentral:misc_RNA from 1 species